AGGAUAAUAUUUAAUAAUAAUAUUUGAAUUGCACUCAAAAGAUGUUGAAAUAUCAACUUAUCUUA
rnacentral:tRNA from 1 species